rnacentral:rRNA from 1 species
UACGUAGGGUGCAAGCGUUAAUCGGAAUUACUGGGCGUAAAGCGUGCGCAGGCGGUUUUGCAAGUCAGAUGUGAAAGCCCCGGGCUCAACCUGGGAAUGGCAUUUGAAACUACAAGGCUAGAGUGUGUCAGAGGGGGGUGGAAUUCCACGUGUAGCAGUGAAAUGCGUAGAUAUGUGGAGGAACACCGAUGGCGAAGGCAGCCCCCUGGGAUAACACUGACGCUCAUGCACGAAAGCGUGGGGAGCAAACAGG